UACGGAGGGGGCCAGCGUUGUUCGGAAUUAUUGGGCGUAAAGGGCGCGUAGGCGGUCGAGUAAGUCUGACGUGAAAUCCCUUGGCUCAACCAAGGAACUGCGUCUUAAACUGCUCGGCUUGAGUCCGGGAGAGGGUAGUGGAAUUCCCAGUGUAGCGGUGAAAUGCGUAGAUAUUGGGAGGAACACCGGUGGCGAAGGCGGCUACCUGGACCGGUACUGACGCUGAGGCGCGAAAGCUAGGGUAGCAAACAGGAUUAGAUACCCUGGUAGUCCUAGCUGUAAACGAUGGGCACUUGGUGUAGCGGGUAUCGACCCCUGCUGUGCCGAAGCUAACGCAUUAAGUGCCCCGCCUGGGGAGUACGGUCGCAAGGCUGAA
rnacentral:rRNA from 1 species